GUACUUCUGAAGAGUCCCAAAGUAGGACGAAACAGCUGUCCAGUAC
rnacentral:hammerhead_ribozyme from 1 species